UAGGGAAUCUUCCGCAAUGGGCGAAAGCCUGACGGAGCAACGCCGCGUGAGUGAUGAAGGUCUUCGGAUCGUAAAACUCUGUUAUUAGGGAAGAACAAAUGUGUAAGUAACUAUGCACGUCUUGACGGUACCUAAUCAGAAAGCCACGGCUAACUACGUGCCAGCAGCCGCGGUAAUACGUAGGUGGCAAGCGUUAUCCGGCAUUAUUGGGCGUAAAGCGCGCGUAGGCGGUUUUUUAAGUCUGAUGUGAAAGCCCACGGCUCAACCGUGGAGGGUAAUUGGAAACUGGAAAACUUGAGUGCAGAAGAGGAAAGUGGAAUUCCAGGUGUAGCGGUGAAAUGCGCAGAGAUAUGGAGGAACAACAGUGGCGAAGGCGAAUUUCUGGUCUGUAACGGACGCUGAUGUGCGAAAGCGGGGGGAUCAAACAGG
rnacentral:rRNA from 1 species